ACUUUACCAUUAGGACCUGUGUUUUCUGGAAUGUAAGUGCAACAAGUCAUAGUGUCAGGAAGUAUUUUACAGACUCCCCCUUUUUCGGCUAAGAUAAUGUCUAAGGCCAGUCUGUUCUGGAAGGUCAUUUGGGAUGUGGCCUGUAAUUGCUCGGCCAAGCCCUGGAGGGCAUCCCUGGUGUAGUUCAUGAAGCGCUGUUGGUUGUAAUAGAUAUAAUUAAUCCAAUUAAGGUUUUUGUUGGCAGUGACUA